rnacentral:rRNA from 1 species
GACGGAGGAUGCAAGCGUUAUCCGGAAUGAUUGGGCGUAAAGGGUCCGCAGGGGGCAGUUAAAGUCUGCGGUAAAAGACCGGGGCUUAACUUCGGAAAGGCAGUGGAAACUGAACAGCUAGAGUAUGGUAGGGGCAGAGGGAAUUCCUGGUGUAGCGGUGAAAUGCGUAGAUAUCAGGAAGAACAUCGGUGGCGAAGGCGCUCUGCUGGACCAUAACUGACACUCAGGGACGAAAGCUAGGGGAGCGAAUGGG